UCGAAUAGCAGAAAUAAAGGUGCGAGUACUUAGCGUACAGCUUAAAAGGGAAGCAGGUUGAAGUCCUGCACGGUCCCGCCACUGUAACGGGGAGAUGUUUCAUGACAGGCCACUGGUGCAUACUGGGAAGGCGUGAAGCAUUAAUGAACCCAAGUCAGAAGACCUGCCUUUAUCCAUGAACCGGU
rnacentral:ncRNA from 2 species